AUAUAUUUUAUGUUUUCUUAAAGCUCUACUAAAUGACAGCAGAAUAAUAGAAGAAUGAACCUAGAAGGACAAAAGGGGACUGAUUGGAGAUGUCACUCAAAAAUUUUCAGUCAGGAAGUACAUGGAGCCAGUAUGGUGGCUGAUGCUUAUCACCCCUCAUGCCUCAGGAAGCUGAGGCAGAAAGACUGUUAUGAAAUUGAGGCCAAGCUGAAAUGAUCCAAAUAGCCAGUGAAUAUCCAUCAGUUCAUCCAGGUCAGCAAAGAGAAUCCCAUGGGCCAUAGAACAUGCUGGAGCUAAGAAUGCUUCUUGUGACUUCAAAAGGCUCAAAUGAAACAAGUCACUGAUGAGACUCUUUAUGGUCCACAAAUCCUAAAAUACAAUUUGGCCUUUUACCCAAAA